rnacentral:lncRNA from 10 species
AGGUUAUAUAUCCUCUGCCUCUCCUACGGAGCUCAUCCCUACCAAGCCUGCUCCUGCAGAGGGAUGCAACUUUCCGACCCACUGACAUCUGUCUUGGUCAUAUGACUUGCUUUGGUCAAUGAAAUGUGGUGUAAAAAGGUGGAGGCUUUGAGAGCCAUUGCCUGGUUCUGCCUUGUUCUUUUCUUUGGGUCACAAGGACGGCAGCUUCCCAGGUACAAUCUGCUCUCUCAGUGUGCAUCUUGAUAUGAAGACAUCAUGAAGGAAAGCAGAGCUGACUGACUGGCAAAAACAUAACUGUGGAUAGAACCCAAAGAGAAAACAAAGCCCAAACAGUCUCAGCUCCUUUACUCUAUGCGACC